rnacentral:lncRNA from 1 species
ACAGAGGUGCCUAAUGAAUCUUGUCAGUUUCAGGGACUUCCUGAAGCUAUUAUUUACUUCUUGAGCUUGCAAAGCCUCCUGAGGAUGAAAAUUUCACCUCUCUUCAGAACAUCUCCUCUUUUCAUGAUAUUCCCUCCAAGAAGAGGAAGUUUCUGCACAACAAUGAAAUGUGCACCAGGAAACUACCCACAAUGCCCCAAACCAUGCCCAUGGGGUGUCCCACAGUGAGAAGAAUGACCACUAUGACAAUGCCCCUAGUGACCCAGAUCCAU